CGCCAUGGCUCACGCCUGUAAUCUUAGCACUCUGGGAAGCUGAGGCGGGUAGGUUGCUUGAUUCGAGUAGUUUCAGGGCAGCCUGAGCAAAAGUGAGAUCCCGUCUUUACUAAAAGUAGAAAAGCUAGCUAAUCCCAGCUACUUGGGAGGCUAGUGCAAGAGAAUCACUUGAACCCAAGAGUUUGAGGUUGCUGUGAGCUAUGAUGCCGCCACACUCUACCAACAAUAACAAAGUGAGAUUCUUUCUCAAAAAAAAAAGAAAAAAAGUAAUAUUUCAAAGAUGUCAGAUCAUCUGCAUCUUAAGAAGUAUAAAUAGUAAAGUUGUGUCAAAGACUUCCCUGGGAUUUUUCCACUUUAGCUGUAAUUAGUUUAUUCUACAAAUAUUUAAACUUAGAAACAGACAUCGAUUAUUUGAAGAGGGGUGGCACUUGCUGUGGAAAUACUGCUCUGUCCCCGAAUGUCACCAACAGUUCUUCAUAUGUGCCUUAUACCAUUGUCCAUAUGAAAAUUUCCCACAGACCCCUUCUCUUGCUGCUGCUUGUGAGGGUCCGCGCCCUCUCCGCACGCCUUGUCACCAUGCCUCGGAAAAUUGAGGAAAUCAAGGACUUUCUGCCAGGCGAAAGGAUGCCAGGUCUGUCAAGAUCAAGAAAAAUAAGGAUAAUGUGAAGUUUAAAGUUAGAUGCAGCAGAUAUCUUUAUACCUUGGUCAUCACAGACAAAGAGAAGGCAGAGAAACUGAAGCAGUCUCUGCCCCCUGGUUUGGCAGUGAAGGAGCUGAAAUGAAGCAGACAUGCUGAUUUGAAUUGUAUUAAAUUUUAAAAAUUCAAAAAA